rnacentral:rRNA from 1 species
AUUGAACGCUGGCGGCAGGCCUAACACAUGCAAGUCGAACGAGUGGCGGACGGGUGAGUAAUGUCUGGGAAACUGCCCGAUGGAGGGGGAUAACCACUGGAAACGGUAGCUAAUAUCGCAUACCAUCGGAUGUGCCCUGAUGGGAUUAGCUAGGAGGUGGGGUAACGGCUCACCUAGGCGACGAUCCCUAGCUGUUCUGAGAGGAUGACCAGCCACACUGGGAAGGAGACACGGUCCAGACUCCUACGGGAGGCAGCAGUGGGGAAGAUUGCACAAUGGGCGCAAGCCUGAUGCAGCCACGCCGCGUGUAUGAAGAAGGCCUUCGGGUUGUAAAGUACUUUCAGCGAGGAGGCGUUACUCGCAGAAGAAGCACCGGCUAACUCCGUGCCAGCAGCCGCGGUAAUAC